rnacentral:rRNA from 1 species
UACGAAGGGGGCAAGCGUUGCUCGGGAUCACUGGGCGUAAAGGGCGCGUAGGCGGAUUAAUAAGUCGGUGGUGAAAUCCUAGAGCUCAACUCUAGAAGUGCCUUCGAUACUGUUAGUCUUGAGAUUGGGAGAGGUGAGUGGAAUUCCGAGUGUAGAGGUGAAAUUCGUAGAUAUUCGGAGGAACACCAGUGGCGAAGGCGACUCACUAGACCGAUUCUGACGCUGAGGCGCGAAAGCGUGGGGAGCAAACAGG